UUCUUUUUUUGUUGGCUGCUAAAUGUUUGAAGACUAACUUGAAAAAACCCUGUGGGAGGCGGCAGAGCUAAAAAUGACUUUCAACUUUUUCUAGUAUCUAUUCCUAAAAAAAGUAAUCUGCAAUUACCAUUUAAAAGCAUCAAUAUUUACAAAUAGCCAAAUACACAAAUAAAAUAAAAUAUUAAAUACACAUCUUUAAAUCAAAUAACUUUAAAAAGUAAUCAUGUAACUUUGAAUCAAAUGUUGUUAAAAAGAAAUAAACUUUAAAGCAAAAUCCCAAAUACCUUCUCAAAAUAUGUACAUGCUAAUCAUUCUCCUUUCAUAGUCUUCUUGCUGAAGUUUCCUUUCAAUUUUGACUAAUUUGUUU
rnacentral:lncRNA from 1 species